GAAAAAUUAGUUAAACAAUAACAUAGGAUUGUCAUUCCUAAAUUACUAUCUUUUAUAGUAUUUUUCU
rnacentral:tRNA from 1 species